GUCCGCUGCUCAAUUAACUGAUUGCAUCAGCAAACGAGCUUCCGUUUAGCUUCAUUUGAUGCUGAAGCUUAGCAUCAACAUCCUGCAGAGAUCUGGUAAACCAAGGCUGACAACGGGCCAAGAGGGAUGAGAGAGUCAGCAGAGAGGUUUCAGGAUGGUCCUGUAUUUAGCAGCAUUACACUUGGAAUGAACCUAAUGAGGGGGACACAUCUCGGAACAGGAGGAAGCUCCCCCCUCUCUCAGCCUCCACGUCAAACACUGUUCCAAUGUGCUGAGCCAGUGGAAAAUCUGAUGUCCGUUCAAGAAACAAAGUGGUGAAGAAAGAUUGCCUGACCAAAGGAAGAAACAUUCAUGCAGCUCGUCUUCACUGAUAGGGACCAGCUUAUGUAAGCCAAAUAAUGAGGCAUCUUCUUGUUCAGAUUUUCCACUUGCCUCGACUCAGGAGGCACAUGAUCUCCAAAUGCUCCAUUGGCAUUCCCAGCACAGUGGCAUUUAUAGUCAAAACGGUUUUGAAAUAACUGAUUUUUUGAGGCUUCGUUUUUUCCGUACUCUUUGGCUUCUUCCGUUGUGCUUUGUGCAAAUGUCUUUAUCAAUUCAAAGCCAAAAAUGUCAGAAGGAUGUUGCAGCAAAGUUC